rnacentral:rRNA from 1 species
UACGGAGGGGACUAGCGUUGUCCGGAAUUAUUGGGCGUAAAGAGCUCGUAGGCGGCUUGUCGCGUCGACUGUGAAAUCCCGCGGCUCAACUGCGGGUCUGCAGUCGAUACGGGCAGGCUAGAGUUCGGUAGGGGAGACUGGAAUUCCUGGUGUAGCGGUGAAAUGCGCAGAUAUCAGGAGGAACACCGGGUGGCGAAGGCGGGUCUCUGGGCCGAUACUGACGCUGAGGAGCGGAAAGCGUGGGGAGCGAACAGG